GGUGUCGCCAAGUGGUAAGGCACCGGGUUUUGAUCCCGGCAUUCGCAGGUUCGAAUCCUGCCACC
rnacentral:tRNA from 1 species